rnacentral:lncRNA from 1 species
CCAAUUUUACGGUUCACUGAACAUAGAAAAUGAUAGUGCAAAUUUCAGGUUAAAGUUUUUGGCUUCAGGUUUAAGUUUUUGGUCAAGGUAGUUUUUGAUGAAGUUGAAGUCCAAUCAACUUGAAACUUAGUAUACAUGUGCCCUAUGAUAUGAUCUUUCUAAUUUUAAAUGCAAAAUUAGAGUUUUUACCCCACUUUUACGGUUCACUGAACAUAGAAAAUGAUAGUGCAAAUUUCAGGUAAAAAGUUUUUUUUUUUUUUUUUGGGGCUUUUUCAGGUUUAAAAGUUUUUUUUGUCAGGUAGUUUGAUGAAGUUGAAGGUCCAAUCAACUUGAAACUUGUAAUACAGUGCCCUUAUAUAUGAUCUUUCUAAUUUAAAUGCCAAAUUAGAGUUUGACCCCAAUUUCACGGUCCACUGAACAUGUAAAAUGAUAGUGCGAGUGGGGCAUUCGUGUACUGAGGACACAUUCUUAUUCUAGAAGUUAUCAUGACUCAGGACAUGGCAGGCAGUACUGCCAUACAAUUACAUAAAAUUGAGAAUGGAAAUUGGGGAAUGUGCCAAAGAGAAAACACACCCGACCAUGNNNNNNNNNNNNNNNNNNNNNNNNNNNNNNNNNNNNNNNNNNNNNNNNNNNNNNNNNNNNNNNNNNNNNNNNNNNNNNNNNNNNNNNNNNNNNNNNNNNNNNNNNNNNNNNNNNNNNNNNNNNNNNNNNNNNNNNNNNNNNNNNNNNNNNNNNNNNNNNNNNNNNNNNNNNNNNNNNNNNNNNNNNNNNNNNNNNNNNNNNNNNNNNNNNNNNNNNNNNNNNNNNNNNNNNNNNNNNNNNNNNNNNNNNNNNNNNNNNNNNNNNNNNNNNNNNNNNNNNNNNNNNNNNNNNNNNNNNNNNNNNNNNNNNNNNNNNNNNNNNNNNNNNNNNNNNNNNNNNNNNNNNNNNNNNNNNNNNNNNNNNNNNNNNNNNNNNNNNNNNNNNNNNNNNNNNNNNNNNNNNNNNNNNNNNNNNNNNNNNNNNNNNNNNNNNNNNNNNNNNNNNNNNNNNNNNNNNNNNNNNNNNNNNNNNNNNNNNNNNNNNNNNNNNNNNNNNNNNNNNNNNNNNNNNNNNNNNNNNNNNNNNNNNNNNNNNNNNNNNNNNNNNNNNNNNNNNNNNNNNNNNNNNNNNNNNNNNNNNNNNNNNNNNNNNNNNNNNNNNNNNNNNNNNNNNNNNNNNNNNNNNNNNNNNNNNNNNNNNNNNNNNNNNNNNNNNNNNNNNNNNNNNNNNNNNNNNNNNNNNNNNNNNNNNNNNNNNNNNNNNNNNNNNNNNNNNNNNNNNNNNNNNNNNNNNNNNNNNNNNNNNNNNNNNNNNNNNNNNNNNNNNNNNNNNNNNNNNNNNNNNNNNNNNNNNNNNNNNNNNNNNNNNNNNNNNNNNNNNNNNNNNNNNNNNNNNNNNNNNNNNNNNNNNNNNNNNNNNNNNNNNNNNNNNNNNNNNNNNNNNNNNNNNNNNNNNNNNNNNNNNNNNNNNNNNNNNNNNNNNNNNNNNNNNNNNNNNNNNNNNNNNNNNNNNNNNNNNNNNNNNNNNNNNNNNNNNNNNNNNNNNNNNNNNNNNNNNNNNNAGAGACCAAAUGACACAGAAAUUAACAACUAUAAGUCACCAUGUGACCUUCAACAAUGAGCAAUCCCAUAUGUACAGCAGUCAGCUAUAAAAGGCCCUGAAAUGACAAAUUUUAUGUAAAACAAAUCUAAUUUGAAAACUUGCGGUAUAAGGAAAUAACGAUUUAACUUUGAGCUUGGGGUAUGGUUUUUUCCUAUAAAAAAAAUUCUGAUCCACAAUUUGAAGGAAUCAAAAUUGCGAUCAGACAGAUGACAAAAAAUGAUCAUGAAUAUUCUAAAUCCACAUUUUCCUCAUACUUAGCUUGAAAAGAAAAUAUUAGAUAAUAUAGUAAAUUUGUAAGAUACUUGUACAAGUGUAUUUUAUUAACUUGUAUAUAUGCAUAAGUAAUUUUAAUGACUUGGUUGUGUAAUCUGUGAAUCAUGUGGCAACUUUUGUGGUCUCACUUUUGGCAGCCUUUGUGAUUACCGAUAUGGCAACUUUUGUCAUCAUACAUGUGGCAAUUUUUGUUUUCACACAAGUCACAACCUUUUAUGAUUACACAUGUGACAGAGAGGCAGAAGAUACCAAAGGAAAUCAUGAUGCAUGGAUUUUUCUAGCAUUCCACAGGGUCCAGUUUUCAGACCCAUUCCCAACGGCAAAAACCCUACAUUUUUCCCAAUUUUGGUAGUAAAAUUCCCAAAUGAUACAGGAAGUGUGGGAAAAUACUAAAACCAGAUCAAAUACAGAAACGGACAAGUAUAUAAUUCCGGGUUUGUCAAUCAAAUACAGUUAAUAAAAAAUGAAAAGAACCAAACAUGUGACAGCUAUCAUAGCAACACUAAAAUUUAUACAGAACUCAAAAUAUUUUAGUUCACAAACUUUCAUGUCAAAAUAAAAAAAAAUAACAAUCCUUUAAAAUGUAAGAACUCAUUAUUUUGAUACUCAAAUAAACUUUAAUGCCAUGUUGUUAUAUUUAAAAACAAAUUUAAUGAACUAAACACACAAAAACUAACAUCUGGUAUAUUGGUUGUUUUUCCCAAUUUCAUUGAAAACUGCGCCAAAAAAUUCCCAAAACUGGCCAGGGUCCUUUUUCCCAAAAUACCCAGAUAAACCCCUGUGAUGGGAAAUACAAGUCCUGGAAUAUGAUAUAUACUCUGUAUGCAGGCUCUGAUGAAAUACAAGUCCUGGAAUAUGAUAAUACUCUGUAUCAGCUUGAUGAGAUAGAUGUAUGCAGGCUCUGGAAUACAAGUCUGAUAUAUAUAUCUGUAUGCAGAGUCCUAUAUGGAUAUACUCUGUAUGCAGGCUCUGAUGCCAGUCCUGGAUAUCAUAUAUACUCUGUAUGCAGGUCUGAUGAAAUACAAGUCCUGAAUAUGGAUAUAUACUCUGUAUCUGUGAUGAAAUCCAGGCUCUGCUGAUGAAAUACAAGUCUGGAGUAUGAUAUAUACUCUGUAUGCAUGUACUCUGUAUGCAGGCUCUGUGAAAUACAAGUCCUGGAAUGUGAAUAUCUGUAUGCAGGCUCUGAUGAAAUACAAGUCCUGGAUGUAUAUAUUACUCUGUAUGCAGGCUCUGAUGAAAUACAAUCCUGGAUAUGAUAUAUACUCUGUAUGCGGCUCUGAUGAAUACAAGUCUGAAAUAUGAUAUUACUCUGUAUGCAGGCUGAUGAAUACAAGUCUGGGAUAUGAACUCUGUAUGCAGGCUCUGAUGAAUAAAGUCCUGGAAUAUGAUAUAUACUCUGUAUGCAGGCUCUGUGUGAAAUACAAGUCCUGGAAUAUGAUAUAUACUCUGUGAUGCAGGCUCUGAUGAAUACAAGUCCUGGAAUAUGAUAUAUACUCUGUAUGCAGGCUCUGAUGAAAUACAGUCCUGAAUAUGAAUAUACACUGUAUGCAGGCUCGUGUCCUGGAGUAUGAUAUUACUCUGUUUGCAGGCAAGCUGAAUAUAGCAGGUCUGAUGAAAUACAAGUAUGAAUAUAUUAUACUCUGUAUGCAGGCUCUGAUGAAAUACAAGUCCUGGAUAUGAUAUAUACUUGUAUGCAGGCUCUGGGAAAUAGUCCAUAUCUCUGGAGUAUUGAUAUAUACUCUGUAUGCAGGCUCUGCUAAGUCAAGUCCUGGAGUAUGAUAUAUACUCUGUAUGCAGGCUCUGCUGAAGUACAAGUCCUGGAGUAUGAUAUAUACUCUGUAUGCAGGCUCUGCUGAAGUACAAGUCCUGGAAUAUGAUAUAAUCUUGCUCUGAUGAAUAAGAUAAUAUACAAGUCUAUAUAUCUGUAGCAGGCUCUGAUGAAAUACAAUCCUAUGAUAUACUCUGUAUGCAGGCUGUGAUGAGAAAUACAAGUCCUGGUAUGAUAUAUACUCUGUAUGCAGGCUCUGAUGAAAUACAAGUCCUGGAAUAUGAUAUAUACUCUGUAUGCAGGCUCUGAUGAAAUACAAGUCCUGGAGUAUGAUAUAUACUCUGUAUGCAGGCUCUGAUGAAAUACAAGUCCUGGAAUAUGAUAUAUACUCUGUAUGCAGGCUCUGCUGAAAUACAAGUCCUGGAGUAUGAUCUAUACUCUGUAUGCAGGCUCUGCUGAAAUACAAGUCCUGGAAUAUGAUAUAUACUCUGUAUGCAGGCUGCCUGAAAUACAAGUCUGAUAUCGAUAUAUACUCUGUAUGCAGGCUCUGUGAAGAUACAAGUCCUGAGUAUGAUAUUAUACUUGAUAGCAGCCUGAUGAAUAAUGAUAUUACUCUGUAUGCAGGCUGUGAUGAAAACGCCUGGAUAUGAUAUAUCCUCUGAUGCCGCUGUGUGAAAAGCUGUGUCAUGCAUAUGACAGUUGUGAUAAGGUCACACAUGUGGGGGAACAUGUCAUUUGAACAGUAUUUGCAGUACAUGUUCAAUUGCAUGGCAUUCUAACAUUCAAUAGUCCAUUUGCCAAUUACUGAUUUGAUUCUGUUAUUACACACUUUUUAAACAAAUUACUUCCCCUUGUCAAUCAUAGACUGGUUCCAUACCGGACAAAAUUAGGAUAAAUUGAAAGUGAUGUAUCGACGGUUCAUAAAAAAUAAUUUCUGAUGUCAAAAGUAUUUAGAUUACAAAUUAAUGUAAUUAAAAGAUUUGAAAGCCUUAAAUGUUACUCACAUUACGCACAGGUAAAUUUGCUCGUUCUGCUAGCUCUUCAUUAUAAAUGAAAAUUAAUGUCCCUCAUAAGGGAGACAACUGAAAGAGGGAUCUCUAAUUACAGGGUCAAUUACGGGAAUUGGCAAAUAGCCUAUGUAUAGCUCAAUAAAAUGCAACAUUCAAACUGUACAUAAUUCCCCUCAAGGUCUGAUUUUGCAUGCUCUAAAGUAGAAUUCACAACUUUCUGAAAGAAUAUGUGUUGUAUGUUAUAGUUUACCAUUAACGUUGUAAUUAUAGAUUUCACUGAUCACUAACAAAACAGCAUCCCAGAAAUACCAUUGUAAAUUGCUUGUAUUGAUGUUUUGAGUUCUUGGUUGUCUGUUUUAAUGGUCUGAUCUUGAUUGGUUAUUGGCUAUAUUUAGAAGAAUUGUUUUUGUUACAAUGAUAACAGUAAUUACUAAAAGAUCAUUGAGAAAAUCCAUCAGUCAGUCGUUACUUAUACAAGUGCUGUGAAUAAAUAAGGUUUUAUUGAAUAAAAACAAGUAAUUUAUACCCCCAUUGAUUUCAAUAUAUAAUUCUUCAAUUUCAGAAUUUCAAGCAUUAUAAUUUUAUUUAAAGGUAAAAUAAGAUAUCAGUCAUUUCAUGUCCAAACUACACCUCAUCUUGGCUUGUUUUGAAACAUGUUCAAUGUACAUUAAGGCUCAUGCUACUAGUACUAGGAGACUGGGCCAAAUAAGUCACAUGGUUUAUCCCGAUCAUUAAAAGUGUAAUCUAGUCACCUAGAUCAUUUGUAGAUGUUCAAAACAAUCACUCUCACCGUAUCAAAUGAUCAUUCAAUAUUACAUUUUCACCAAGUAGUUAAAUCACCAACUUAUCAUUAUGGAAAUUUAUGCAAAGAAAAAAAAAGUUUCUUGAGAAUUUGUGGUGAAAGCACUAAUUUAGAGAUUGGGCCCCAUUGAAAUAUAUACAUUAUAUGUACUAAUUACGGAUCAGAUAAAGUUCAACUAUGAACAAAAUCUGUAUUCUUUUGAUAAUAAUUUCCAUGAUUAGGCUAAUUAAAAUUAAUUGAUAGAUUUUCAUUCCCGCCUGCCCCUCUGAAAUCGUUCCGACCUGAUUUUUUUUUAAUUUAAAAAAUUUACAAUUACGUUUUUUGUUCAUUUCCGUUACCGGUAACUGUUAAGAUUUCAUUUCAUUUAACUUCCUGUUUUAAAUUUCGGUUUUGUACCUUGAGUAAAUCUAACCAAAAUGAUUAAGUCGACAUAUUCUGCUGCUCGAUUAAUUACGAGAAUAAUGUGAUCAUGCAAUCACUUCUCCCUAUCAGAAAUUAUCAGUUGUGAAAAAGAGAAGUAAAUUCUCCCUUUGAUUCUGUAGUGAGCGCUCUGGACGUUGAACAUACUUAUAAUUAGUUUUUUUAAAGGUAGUAGAUGCUAUUUUUAGCUCACCUGGCGUCCAGGCGUCGUUAACUUUUACAAAAAUCUUCUCCUCUGAAACUACUGGGCCAAAUUUAACCAAACUUGGCCACAAUCAUCAUUGGGGUAUCUAGUUUAAAAAAUGUGUGGUGUGACCCAACCAACCAAGAUGGCUGCCAUGGCUAAAAAUAGAACAUAGGGGUAAAAUGCAGUUUUUGGCUUAUAACUCUAAAACCAAAGCAUUUAGAGCAAAUCUGAUAUGGCGUAAAAUUGUUUAUCAGGUCAACAUCUAUCUGCCCUGAAAUUUUCAGAUGAAUCGGACAACCUAUUGUUGGGUUGCUGCCCCUGAAUUGGUAAUUUUAAGGAAAUUUUGCUGUUUUUGGUUAUUAUCUUGAAUAUUAUUAUAGAUAGAGAUAAACUGUAAACAGCAAUAAUGUUCAGCAAAGUAAGAUUUACAAAUAAGUCAACAUGACCGAAAUGGUCAGUUAACUCCUUUAGGAGUUAUUGCCCUUAUAGUCACUUGUUAACAAUUUUCAUAAAUAUUUGUUAAUUUUUGUAAAUUUUUAGGAAAUAUUUUCCACUGUAAUUACUGGGCCAAGUUCAUUAUAGAUACAGAUAAUUGUAGCAACAAGAAUGUUCAGUACAGUAAGAUCUACAAACACAUCACCAUCACCAAAAACCAAUUUUGUCAUGAAUUUAUCUGUGUCCAUUGUUAAUAUGCACAUAGACCAAGGUGAGCAAAACAGGCUCUUGAGAGCCUCUUGUUAGUUGACUGAUUAUUUUGAAAUUCUAUUUUUAGGUAAGAGUAAAGAAGCAGAAAUAAAAAGAAUCAACAAAGAAUUGGCAAAUAUUAGGUCAAAGUUCAAAGGUAAGAAAACAGAAGAGAAUGAAGUUUGAUAAUAAAGUGUAUAUAUCUAAACAGGAGAGAAAUUUUAAAUGAUGAAGUGUUUAUAUUUUAACAGGAGAGAAUGAGGCUGGAUGCUAAAGUGUUUAGAUUUUAACAGGAGAGAACUAUUGUUUUAUCAAGUGUUCAUAUCUAUAAGCAGGAGAGAAUGCUAUUUAAUGAUAAAGUGUUUAUAUUUUAACAGUAAAGAGUGAUGUUUAAUGAUAAAGUGUUUAUAUUUUAACAGGAGAGAGUGAUGUUUAAUGAUAAAGUGUUUAUAUUUAACAGUAAAUGAGUGAUGUUUAAUGAUAACGUGUUUAUAUUUUAACAGUAAAGAGUGAUGAUUAAUGAUAAAGUGUUAUAUUUUAACAGGAAAGAAUGAUGUUUAAUGAUAAAGUGUUUAUAUUUUAACAGUAAAGAGUGAUAUUUUAAUAUAAAGUGUUUAUAUUUAACAGAGAGAGUGAUGUUUAAUGAUAAAGUGUUUAUAUUUUAACAGUAAAGAGUGAUGUUUAAUGAUAACGUGUUUAUAUUUUAACAGUAAAGAGUGAUGAUUAAUGAUAAAGUGUUUAUAUUUUAACAGGAAAGAGUGAUGUUUAAUGAUAAAGUGUUUAUAUUUUAACAGUAAAGAGUGAUAUUUAAUGAUAAAGUGUUUAUAUUUUAACAGGAGAGAGUGAUGUUUAAUGAUAAAGUGUUUAUAUUUUAACAGGAUAUUUGAUCAAGUGUUUAUAUUUUACAGGAGAUAAAACAUUAGAUGGUUACCAGAAGAAAAAGUAUGUGUGUAAACUGUUGUUUAUAUUCUUACUUGGACAUGAUAUUGACUUUGGUCAGAUGGAAGCUGUGAACCUCCUUAGUUCCAAUAAAUAUACAGAAAAACAAAUUGUAAGUAAAGUAAAUGGUCAUUGAAGUUUUUUCACAAAUACUCUGAUUUAUUGUCACAUGUAAACAUCAUGAACAUGGUCAACACCUAAAGUUCCCCUAUAAAAAACAUUUGGCAGGACAUUUGCACUACAAAUAAAGGCUAUUGAUAUUGCUUUUAUUGUUGGUCCUUACAUGUUCUGCAACAUUACCUGAAAGUGCUAAGAAAUCUUCACACAGGCAUGUCUGGUGUAGACCCAUCAUGGAAAAAGACUUCUCCUCCAGUUUUAUACAUAGAUAGUAUGAGGAUUUAAUAUAUGAAUUUACAAUAGAGAAAAAAAUACUCUUCUUCUUUAUCCAGACAAUAACAUUAACAAACAAAGCCUCAUUAAGGGGUACACUGUAACUUCCAUGAGCAUGAUGAGGACAUCAUAACAAGAGGAAACAUCAACAGCAUAAUAUAAUAAAAACACAUAACAAAUCAACUUCAAACAACUGUGCGCCGCAUUGAAUAAAAUUGAAAAUUACGCGCUAACCACAGCGCUAUCCAAAAAUCCUGGGGAGAAUACUGCAUAUGUACCACAUUAAGUGGAUACGGGAAAAAAGUAUAUUUGCUGAUAUUUGAUUUCAUGGUUUUGCCUAAGUCUGUAUAGACAUGAUAGAAAAUUUGUAUUAUUCAUUGAACUUUUAAAUUUGUAGUUCCAUGCAUGUUUAAUGAAAAUCUGUAUCUUAUGAAUAAUUUAACAAACCACAGUAAUUACUUGCUAACUAUUAGAGGUCUAAUCUCAAUUGAAUAUCUUCCAGAGAUAACCUAGUGUAAUGAUUUUCUUAUUGUAUAUUUUAUUUAGGGAUAUUUAUUUAUAUCAGUGAUGAUUAGUGCUCAUAAUGACUUGAUGAAAUUAGUCAUCCAGGCCAUAAAGAAUGAUUUAUCUAGUCGUAAUCCUAUCCACGUUACCUUGGCCCUACAAUGUGUGGCUAACAUCGGAAGUAGAGAAAUGGCUGAAGCCCUAGGUACAGAAAUACCAAAACUAUUAGUCUCAGGGUAGGUAAAUCUAUUGUGUUACAAACAGUAUUAGGGCUGUUCCUUAAGAUACUUUGUCUUCCCAGGGACAGCCCUUUUUUUUAAACCCCUACGAUCCACACAAACUAAAAUAAAUUAGAACAAUACGUUUUUUUCAUUAUGGUGUUUCAAAUACAACCAACCACCCACAUAGAAUAAAAAAAGUGCCUUCCUUAAGGGGUAUAUUAUUUGAAUUAACAUCCCUUUAAUAGAAAUACGAAGAUGUGGUACGAGUGCCAAUGGGACUACACUCCAUCCAAGUCACUAUGUGUCUACGUAUAUAGAUAUACAGAGAUCUAUGUGAUGGGUUUUUCAAUGAGAAACUUAUCAAUAGACAAACCAGACACAGAUGUGAUAUGAUUUCAAAUAAGGAAACUAUCCAUAGACCAACACCAUAAAGAUGCGAUGUAAUUUCCUAUGAGAAAAAACUAUCCAUAGACCAACACCAUAAAGAUGCGACGUAAUUUCUUAUGAGAAAAAACUAUCCAUAGACCAACACCAUAAAGAUGCGAUGUAAUUUCCUAUGAGAAAAAACUAUCUGUACACCAUUAAGACAGAUCUGAGUAAUUACUAGUCACUAAUACUGUAUACAAAAAAUAAAAACAAAAGUGGGAAAUAAUUCAUAGAGAAAACUGCUUAUAUGCAACAAAUAACAACAAAGAUAUACCAGAAAGCAACCACUGAAAAUAACAGUUGAUACACUUGUUGCUUUAGGUUCUGGUGGGCCUAUUUUUUGUCAUCUCAACAAGAUUUAUUUUUCUCCUUGAGCUGAUUCGAAGAAAGUGCGAAAAACAUUAAAGUUGAGAUGACCAAUGAUAAUUUGGUUAUUGCUAUUAUUUCUAUGACGACAUUGAUGUUCAUAGAAAUGAUUUUUCAUUAUUCUCCACUGUGCUGGGAAAGGAAAUUAUCAGUCAGUAAUAAGUUUCAAAAUUAUUUUUUUCAUAAAAUAGCAAUAAUGCAUUUUAUACCUUCAGAGAUACGAUAGAUGCUGUGAAACAGAGUGCUGCAUUGACGUUGUUACGUUUGUUACGUACGUCACCUGAUCUUAUCAAUAUAACAGAAUGGUCAUCUCGAGUCAUACAUCUUCUUAAUGAUCAACACAUGGUAAGUCUCACAGCUAUAAUCUUCCCUCUUUAGGAACACCUCCAUAUGUUACGUACAUCACCUGAUCUUAUUAAUAUAACAGAAUGGUCAUCUAGAGUCAUACAUCUUCUCAAUGAUCAACACAUGGUAAGUCUUACAGCUAUAAUCCUCCCUCUUUAGGAACACCUCCAUAUGUUACGUACAUCACUCUUCUCAAUGAUCAACACAUGGUAAGUCUUACAGCUAUAAUCCUCCCUCUUUAGGAACACCUCCAUAUGUUACGUACAUCACCUGAUCUUAUUAAAUAACAGAAUGGUCAUCUAGAGUCAUACAUCUUCUCAAUGAUCAACACAUGGUAAGUCUUACAGCUAUAAUCCUCCCUCUUUAGGAACACCUCCAUAUGUUACGUACAUCACCUGAUCUUAUUAAUAUAACAGAAUGGUCAUCUAGAGUCAUACAUCUUCUCAAUGAUCACACAUGGUAGUCUUACAGCUAUAAUCCUCCCUCUUUAGAACACCCCAUAUAUUAUGUACCUCACCUGAUCUAUUAAUUAACAGAUGGUCAUCUAAGUCAUACAUCUUCUCAAUGACCAACACAUGGAAGUCUUACAGCUAUAAAUCCUCCCUCUUAAGGAGCACCUCCAUAUGUUACUUAAGUCUUACAGCUAUAAUCUUCCCUCUUUAGGAGUACCUCUAUAUAUUACGUACCUCACCUGAUCUUAUCAGUAUAACAGAAUGGUCAUCUAGAGUCAUACAUCUUCUCAAUGACCAACACAUGGUAAGUUCACACUAUAAUCCUCCCUCUUUAGAACACCUCCAUAUGUUACGUACAUCACCUGAUCUUAUUAAUAUAACAGAAUGGUCAUCUAGAGUCAUACAUCUUCUCAAUGACCAACACAUGGUAAGUCUUACAGCUAUAAUCCUCCCUCUUAAGGAGCACCUCCAUAUGUUACUUAAGUCUUACAGCUAUAAUCCUCCCUCUUUAGGAGCACCUCCAUAUGUUAUGUACCUCACCUGAUCUUAUCAAUAUACCAGAAUGGUAUCAGAAUGGUCAUCUCGAGUCAUACAUCUUCUUAUGAGCACCUUCAUUGGUUUUAACCAACCCUAGAAUAUAAGAUGUAGCACACAUAUACAUAAAUUUUUACUUUAAUAUUAACAUUUUUUUUAGAAGAGAGUCUAAGGGUUUUUAUUAUUUUAAAAUAGAUAGAUUUUUGAAAGUCCCUGUUGAAUUUGUUCACCACUUUUCUAGAUAUAUUUCAAUUAUAGACUCCUUUAUCAUGACUUUCGAGUGGCUAGAUGCUACCAAGUUGACAUAUAGACCAUAGCUUCUUUUCUUUAUCCCUGUCGUAGCUGAAGGGACAUUAAAUUCUACCCUUGUCCGUCUGUAAGUAUGUACAAACGUCCCAAAAUUGGUUUCCGUUCUCUAACUUUAGUUUGCCUCAACUAAAUGUUAACAAUGCUUAUCACCACAAAACACAAAUCAAGUACAAAUUUAGGUACCGUCACUUUACAAUUCUUAAGUUAUGUCCAUUUAUAACCUUAUAUAUGCAAGUGGACAUGUCCCAUAGACACAUUCCCCAUUUAUCUUGCUUCAGAAGUAUUUCCUUUUAUAUUCAGCCUAAUAAACAGAUUUUGAUUGUAUGGCCUUAUAUUCUAUAUUUCAGGGAGUUGUUACAUCGGCUGCCAGUUUCAUAGAAGCUUUAGUGAAGAGAAGUCCUGAGGAAUAUAAAGGAUGUGUCUCAUUAGCAGUAUCAAGACUUAGCAGAGUAAGAUAGAUUUACACAAUAAACCUUUUUGAUUUUAUUUUUCCAUCUGCUGACAGUGGACAAACCACCUGUGCCUACUCUAGCUACAUUUAUAUUUUUUUUUGUGUGAAAAUAUUGAUAACAGACUUGUAUAUGCAUUUUUUCAAUAGAUUGUACCUGCAAGUCUUUUGAUUCAACAAAAGAAAUUAUAUGCCCACUCCUAUGGGUGGGCAGGGUGGACAAGCUAGAAACGUUGCCCUCCUGGUGCCCACUCCCACUGUGGGCAGGUGGACAAAGCAAAACACACAAAAAGUAAAGGAACAGGGAUUGUAUUGCUGUUAUUCAAUUCAAAGUCUCAGUGAGGUCUUCAACACAGAGCAAAAAAACACACUCAGCACCACCUCACUAAUCAAGUUGAUAAGUACACCUCCUCACAAAGUCCGAAAACAAGAAAUAAAACAAAUAAUUUGAUUCACAUGAUGGGAAAAGGAUUUCUCAAUAAAAAUACAGCAAAAGAUCACUCAGAAUUUGGAAUUACGGGAGUUUCAUAAGACAUUUUCUAACAGUUACAAAAAGAAAUUUCAUGCGAGAAAGUAGUGUGGACAUUGUAUCAGUGCAAACUAUACAAGCACAAGUUAGGACCUAGAUAGUAGAACAUAUUUAAUAAAUAUAGUUCCUGUUGAGUCUAUGUACAUUGUAGAACUUUUGUGUACACCAUAUACUCUGAACUUUGUCAAUUCUUCAUAAAAUUUUAUUAAAAAUUGGACAUAGAUUUACAAGGAUUAAAAGACUUUAAUUUGAAAGUACACAACAUUUUUUGUAUUUUCAGAUUGUGACAUCAUCGUACACAGAUUUACAAGACUACACAUAUUAUUUCGUACCAGCUCCAUGGUUAUCUGUUAAACUUCUUCGACUUCUUCAGAAUUAUCCACCACCAGGUAAGAAAAGGGGUCCUGAUCCCAAAAUUCUGGGAUUAAAAACAUGAAAUCCUGAGGUCCCGAAUUUAAAGAAAUUUAUAUCCCGACAUCCCGAAAAAAAAAAAAAAUUCCCAUAUUCUGAAAGGAUCAAUCUGGAAAUCCAGAGCUUAAAAACACCCAAUCCCUACAUCACGUAAAAGGUCCUGCCCCCCCCCACCCACCCUCCAGGUAAAGAUUUUCAGUAAACAAUAAUAUUGUGCUGUUACACCAAUUUCCAUGAUAAGUGCCAUGGUGAUUACUUACAAUAUAAAAAAGAAGAUGUGGUAUUUUUGCCAAUGAGACAACUCUCCACAAGACACCAAUUGACACAGAAAUUAACCACUAUAGGUCAUCAUAUGGCUUUUUACAAUGAGCAAAGCCCAUUGAGUACUCGCAAGCAUUUUAACCCUGCCUGUUCCAAGCUGCUUACUAUACAGUUUGGGUAUAAGUCAUUGUUAUAGGCCAUAAAGUCAUGACCUAUAGUUGCUAACAUGAAAAUGAAUUUUAGAAAAGCAUAAAAAUCAGGAGGAGCAUUCAAUUUGCACAUUUGUAUGUCUUAAUACCAAAAAUAUUUAUAGUAGGGCUUUUCAGUAAAAUGAAUGACCAAGGUCCAGAUUGGAAGUCAUUUUACAUAUAUAUUACUUUUUAAUUAUUGAAAUUGAAUAAUGAAAUGAUAUUAUGAUACUUCAUGGAUAGAACUUACUUGUUUAUAUUUUAAAUGUGUGUUUUUCAGAGGAUCCUGCUGUUCGCACAAGACUAACAGAAUGUCUGGAAACAAUACUCAACAAGGCUCAGGAGCCCCCAAAGUCAAAGAAAGUUCAGCAUUCCAAUUCUAAAAAUGCUGUUUUGUUUGAGGCCAUUAAUCUAAUCAUACACAUGGACAGCGAUCCAAAUCUUCUAGUCAGAGCUUGUAAUCAAUUAGGACAAUUCUUACAACACAGAGAAACUAAUCUAAGGUAGGUAACUCUAAUCAGAGCUUGUUUACAAUCAAUUCGGACAAAUGUAGAGAUGGGUUGUUACAUUUGGGCCUUUUUCAUAUUUUGACAGACAUCUAUUUGCUGUGUACCAAUACUUUUAAUUACUAAUGAGGGUAUGCUAAGAACAACAAUGCAUGCAUCAUUAUAAUUGGUUAUAAUUAUGCCCCACCUACGAUAGUAGAGGGGCAUUAUGUUUUCUGGUCUGUGCGUCCGUUUCGUCACGUCCGUUCGUCCGUCUGUCCCGCUUUCAGGUUAAAGUUUUUGGUCAAAGGUAGUUUUUGUAUGAAGUUGAAGUCCAAUUGACUUCAAACUUGGUACAAACAUGUUUACCUAUGAUAUGAUCUUUCUAAUUUUAAUGACCAAAUUAGAGAUUUUACCCGAAUUUUCACGGUCAACUGAACAUAGAAAAUGAUAGUUGCAGAGUGGGGCAUUUUCGUGUACUGAGGACACAUUCUUGUUUUUGUUAUAAUUUCAGUUAGUGUAAGGGUUAGGAGGAUAUCUGUGAUUUAAAAAGUAUUCAUUAAUUGACAUAUUUUAUAAUUUCAGAUAUCUUGCAUUAGAGAGUAUGUGUUUAUUAGCCACAUCAGAAUUCUCUCAUGAAGCCGUCAAAAAACAUCAAGAAACAGUUAUUACUUCAUUGAAGGUAUGGACUGUGUACAUGUAUAAAGGGAAGUAAUCCAAAUAUUACAAAACAAUCUCUCUCUUUCAAAAUAAUGACUUUCAUUGGAUUUUUAAAGAAUUUCUAUUUCUAUAUCUUUUUUAUGGUACAGAUUUGUUAAUAACUUUUGGAAACCCAUUUUGAUCAGUAUUAUGGGGAGGGGAAAACGAGAUAUUAAAUACUUUAAUAUCAAUAUCAAAUUUUUGUCCACAUGUAAUUAUAAUGAGAAUUUUCUGCUUCCAAUCUCAAUGCAGAUUUUUUUAUACAUUAUCUCACAAUAACCUUGGUUACACCAUUGAUCUACAGUUCAGUUCUCAGUUGUUCUCCUGCUGUAAAAAGCAUUUUACCAGUCAACAGAUAGAUAAUAUUAUCACUAUUGUAUACUCAGAUAUUCAAUUUACAAAACGGUUUGUGUAAAUGACUUCAUUGUAAAGAAGAGCAUUGACUUGGUUAAAUUAAUGUAACCUUUUAAUGUAUUACAUGUAUAUUUUUCAGACUGAACGAGAUGUGAGUGUACGACAAAGAGCAGUAGAUCUUCUGUAUGCUAUGUGUGAUAGAACAAACGCUGAAGAAAUCGUCGGAGAAAUGUUGGAAUAUUUGGAAUCAGCUGAUUACUCCAUAAGAGAGGAAAUGGUAUAUAUAGUUUAGUUAUCUGUUAUAACCGUCAGGUGUCAAAGGGUCAUGUUUGGCUACAGUUAGCAUCAAAUUGAUUAGAAUUUUAAAGUGGUUCAUCAAAAUAUCCUUAUUGUGAUUCAUUAGAUGUCUCAUAUAGUUAUUGUUACGGGUAUUUUUGGAAAAAAAUUCAGCUUGAUUGAUCAAAAUCAGUUGUUUUUUAUCAUCUAAAAGAAAGUGUACAUUUUAUCGUCAUGUACCAAAAUUUACCGUUUAUAUCAUUUUGCAAGAAUUUUUACAGUUAUUGGUCAUGAUGGUUCCCCCAUUACAACCCUCUUACAAAUUAUUUUAUAUGGGUUUGGUCAAUUAGAUACAUUUUGAUUGAAUUAGCAGUUACAACUCAAAAUAAGUCUGUGAAAAGUUUGUUUUUGAAAAAUCUCUUUGUAACAAAAUAGAAUGGAAUCAUGAAACCCUAAUCAUGUUUUUUAUCCUGAUAUAUAUAAACAUGUUUCAGGUGAUGAAGGUAGCCAUCUUUAUGCUGAUAUAUAUAUACAUGUUUCAGGUCCUGAAGGUAGCCAUCUUUAUGCUGAUAUAUAUAUAUAAUAUGCAUGUUUCAGGUCCUGAAGGUAGCCAUCUUGGCAGAGAAGUAUGCUGUAGAUUACACUUGGUAUGUUGAUGUCAUCCUGAACCUAAUUAGAAUAUCAGGAGAUUACGUCAGUGAAGAGGUUUGGUAUAGAGUUAUACAGAUUGUUAUCAAUAGAGAUGAUGUCCAGGGAUACGCUGCCAAAACUGUUUUUGAGGUGAGGACUUUAAACUCUUUUUUUGCCCCCGCCAUAGUGGAGGGACAUUUAGUUUUACCCUUGUCAGUCUGUACAGACGUACGUCCUAAAGUUGGUUUCCGUUCUCAACUUAAGUUUGCCUCAACCAAAUGUUAUGAAACUUAUACAUAAUGAUAAUUACCACAGAUCAUGUUUGAGUUUUGGUGUCAUCACUUUAACAGUUAUAGAGUUAUGCCCCUUUAUAAAUCUGUUCUCUAACUUAAGUCUACCUCAUCCCAAUUUAUAAAAUUUAUACACAAUACUUAUUAUACAAAACUCAGAUCAAGUAUAAAUUUGGGUAGCGUCACUAUUUUUCUGUGAACAAGACAAUUUUAAGGGAAGUGUGAUGCAGGUAUUGUACACAAAUAUGUCAAUUGCAUGCUUGUUUUCUGAUAUUGUACUGUUCAAUAUAUAUGCAUGUAUUUGCUAAACCUGAUUAAAAAUUUAUGAAUAAUCAAGAUAUUUUGUCAUUUGGUUUUCGAUUAAAUGAACAUACAUAUAUCACUGUACUAGUAUACAUAUUUUUUAGGGGCCAGCUGAAGGACACCUACGGGUGCGGGAAUUCUCGCUACAUUGAAGACCCACUGGUGUCCUUCGGGUUGUUGUCGCUUUGACACAUUCCCCAUUUCCUUUCUCAAUUUUAUAUAUGUAUCUGACACCAGAACCUUUGAUCAAAUCUGAAAAAAGUCUGAAAGUAGUUAAAGAAAUUUGCUAGAAUUGAAAGAGACUAAUAAUAUGGACAAUGUCAGCCUCAUUGCUUUCUUAUAUUUCAGGCAUUACAGGCUCCUGCUUGCCAUGAGAAUAUGGUCAAAGUUGGAGGAUAUAUAUUGGGAGAGUUUGGUAAUCUAAUUGCUGGAGAUCCUAGGUCAAGGUAGAGUUGUAUAUAUAUAGUAAAGAUUUGAUUUAUGAUACACAACUGAUACUGGGAAUUCAUUUAUUUAGGGAAUGACUGUAAUAUUUUUUUCUGUCUAUGAAGAAAUAACAUAAAAAAUGUGGUGCACACUGAAUACUGCUGCCUUUAUUUUACAGUCAUUUCUUAUAAUUCAAUUCUAAAUUCCAUUAAACCGUAGAAAACCAUGAAAAAACAUUGUUGACGUCACGGUCACAAAAUUAUGUCUAUGGGUUCAUAACAAAAUAACAUCAGCCAAUCAGAAGACGCGUUACAUCCAAAAUUAAAUUAUUUUUGGGUAUUGAGAAAAACUUAAAUUUUUGUGGAUAUUUGAUUCCAUGGUUUUAAAAUUAUAUGAAUUUUGUCAAACUCAUAUUUUCUAAAUAGAAAAAAAAUGUAGCCUUUUAAAUCUAGAAUCUGAUUCUGGAUGAUUGUAAAAUUUUCUGGUACUUUUAUUAAUACACUUUAAUCAGAAAUGAGUAUUGCAAAAUGUUUAUUUUCGAUGAGGUCAAACACAAGGUUAUAUAUUUGUAAUUUUCUUCCGCUGGACUCUUUAUCUUCUUUAAAGUUAAAAUUUAUGCAAAAAGACAUGCUCUUGAUUUUAGCCUUUUCACAGAACUACUGAAUAAGAACCCAGCACAAAAGUGUUCCUCUUUGGCAAAAAUAGAUAACUGAGAUAAGGGCUAUUCCAGUAAAAUUUACCUAGGAGGGGCGGAACGCCGACGAUAUUUUUUUCCAUAGGUGGGGGGUUAUCAACAUAAUUGUAUUCUGGAGGGUGGUGGUCCCGAUUUAAAUUCAUUUCUGUUGGUGGGGGGUUUCUGAAUGAUAGGUUAAACAUAUUGUUCCCCCUGUUAUGAAGGAAGAUUCUCCUGAAAAGGUCAUCCGACUGCAAAUAAAGUUGGCAGACCACUAAUUUUAAACGUCCGUUUGUGUUCUUGUCAAACCAGUGAUCGGGAAGGACGUGCCCCCUGCGCCUAUAGCGCAUAUUGACAAGAAAUGGCGCAUACAGUAACAAAUGUAAGCGCCCACGUGGCGCACGAUACUUUUCACUUCGUUUCGAAACGUUUAGAUAUCGUCAAAUGAAUUUCCGAUCCGUGUUCCAUGCCACCAUGUGUGUGUACACAACUGUGUAAUGUUCCUCCAAUAAUAGGAGCACCUAUAUAUUUUUGGGACGUCUCGGAUGUUUACCUAUGAUAAUAGAACCAUGCGAUUUCACGUCUCGGGUGUUUUCCUAUUGUAAUAAUAAAACCAUGCGGUCUAACUGAUAACCCGAAAAACGUAAUUAACCAUCAUUCAUGAUAUAUAUUUUUUUUAUAAACAACUUUAAAUUUGUUAAAUUUGGCUAGUACAGACGAGAUUUAGCCCUUAUAACUAUCUCAUUUAGUUUAGCUUGCUAUUAUUUCGAUUGAAGAACCCCAAAGACUUUUUAGGAAUAUAGUUUUUGUCUCCAUAAAAGACGCUUAACUGUCCUUGUCAUUUUUUGGUCUUUGGCUCAUUUUGACAUUUUGUAAACAUGACUUCUUCAGCGAUUUGUUGUUUUGUUCUAUGAAUUAAUGGUACUCUAUACUGUUAUUCUUGUCACCGUGAUGAAGAUAUAAUGAUACAAGAAGUGCAGAGGAAUUGCCUGAAAUGUCCUCUGAUACGGAACGUCUGGAAUAAGUAUGGUAUCGACGAAGACCCAAAUUUAAUGUAAAAAAAACCAACAUGAACAAGGCAACAGUACCAGUUUAAACAUUGUAAAUAAAGGUUAACUUAAAUAUUGUUGUGGUUGGAAGAAGUUAUUGUAUAUUCAUUGAAAUUGAAAUGGCAGAAUUUGCUGUACUUAAAUCUCUUUCCUUGCAAAGAAUAUGUCCUUAAUAAGGUGGACUGGCCAAUUCUUUGCAAUUUUUGUCCCAAAUAAUAUUUCAUUGCAUACAGUUUAUAACAGCUUCAAGUACCCUCUCCCUUGUAUACCGUCUCCCCACAAAAAAAAAUAUGUGUGGGUGACAUCCAAACUAUGCGGUCCAUAAAAAAAUAUUAUAUUUUGGCACAGACAAUUAGAUUUUUAUUGCGCAUGUUGCGUGGGUGGUAUUGAAGGGAAAAAAUGGCCUAAUUUUUGCGGAAAAAUAUGGCCUUGUUACACAGGAGAGUAUAUCAUCUUCCUCAACAUUUGCCUAUUGAAAAAAAAAUGUAUAUAUAAGAAAUACAAAAAAUAAAAAAAGAAUUACAUUGUGCCUACCAAAAAUAUUUUAUGGCUCAAACUAAACUCUGAAACAUCAAAUGGUUGGUGCCAACCAGUUUCCCCACCUGAAGAAUAUGUCGUACCUGAAAAUGUUAUUGACAGUUUUAAAAAUAAAAUGGGCCAUAAUUAAAAUCGCACCCCCCUUUUUCGGUCACUGUGAGCUAUUGCCGUCAUGUUGCAUCUGUCGUCUGCUGCUCCAUAACAUUGUUACAUGUUUCAUUUUAUAUUUUAAUAGCAACAUAGCUAGUAUAAAAAAGAAGAUGUGGUAUGAUUGCAAUUGAGACCAGAGGCGGAUUUAGGGGGGCCAGAGGGCCCCCCCCCCCCUUUUUGGAUGCACUGAAAUAGAUAAACCAACAAAUUUUACAUUUAUUUGACAGGAUGCAACAUUUUUGUAUACUUUAAAAAACUAGCUAACUUUUAUUUUUUUUCUCUAGGUAGGGGGUCUUGGAAGAAAAUACAUGUUCUAGGUGGGGGUGUAUUUUUUUAAUCUUUUCCAUAGGUGGGGGGUCAAAAAAUAAGUGGCGUUCCACCCCCCCUGGAUAAUUUUUACUGGAAUAGCCCUAAAGUCAGAGGAUGCCCUAAGCUUAAUAGUAUGUAAAAAUUGAAAAUGUGUAGUGAACAUCAUUAAAAACAUAACUUUUGUGUAUUACACCAUGUGUAGUGAACACUGUUAAAAACAUGAUGUUUGUGUAUUUCAGUGCAAUAAUUCAGUUCCAGUUAUUACACAGUAAAUAUCAUUUAUGUGGACCAGCAACCAGAGGACUUCUUCUGUCUACAUAUAUCAAGUUCAUUAACCUGUUCCCUGAAAUAAAGGGAGAUAUACAAAAUGUAAGUCAACACAUAUAAACAGCUCACUUGCACAAAUUUUCUAAUGGAUUAUUUAUAUAGAUUAGACCGUUGGUUUUCCUGUUUGAAUGGUUGUACACAAGUCAUUUUUAGGGCCUUUUUUCUUUGUGUUGUAUGGGAGCCAAGGCUCUGUGUUGAAGGUCAUAUUUUGACCUGUAAUUGUUUACUUUUUACACAUUGUAACUUGGAUGGAGAGGUUCUGAUUGGCACUAAUACCACAUCUUCUUAUAUCUAUUUGUUAUGUCCACCUAUCCAUGGUGGUAGUAGAAAAGCUUGGGCUUAAUUUCUGGAUGGAUUCCUUCACCUAGCUUUCAGAUUAGAGAUAUCAUUUCUUUUAAAUUCAUAGAUAUGGAGGGAAAUCACCACAUGCUACAUAUUUAAUAACUGUAAAUUCAGAAAAUAUUGCUAUGUUUUUAUUAUUGCGAAAAAUGUGACAGGGUAAUAAUCGUAAUAAUUUAAACUUGCAUUUUAAUUUUUAUGCCCCACCUACGAUAGUAGAGGGGCAUUAUGUUUUCUGGUCUGUGCGUCCGUUCGUCCGUCCGUCUGUCCUGCUUCAGGUUAAAGUUUUUGGUCAAGGUAGUUUUUGAUGAAGUUGAAGUCCAAUCAACUUGAAAUUUAGUAUACAUGUGCCCUAUGAUAUGAUCUUUCUAAUUUAAAUGCCAAAUUAGAGUUUUGACCCCAAUUUUACGGUUCACUGAACAUAGAAAAUGAUAGUGCAAAUUUCAGGUUAAAGUUUUUGGUCAAGAUAGUUUUUGAUAAAGUAGAAGUCCAAUCAACUUGAAACUUAGUAUACAUAUUCCCUUUGAUAAGAUCAUUCUAAUUUUAAUGCCAAAUUAGAGAAUUUAUUCCAAUUUCACAGUCCACUAAACAUAGAAAAUGAUAGUGCGAGUGGGGCAUCCGUGUACUGUGAACACAUUCUUGUUUUGAAUAGAAUGAAACAAGAUUUUUCUCAAUAUCACAAAAAUUAAUAUCGCAUUUUAAUCUAAAAUGACAAAAUCGCAAAAAUAAAUGCACACAAUAAUUUGUGAAUUUACAGUAACAUCUGGAUAACCAUAUAGGUCAGACAUGGAUUCAAUGUAAAUAAAAUUAGAGACACAAUAGUUCAUUUAUUUCAAAACAUAGGUUGAUACUACCAUCCGGAUAUUGUAUUCCAUAAAUGUCCGCUAUGAUGACACUGUCUUUUUUCAUGUCAUUGAUAAUGUAUGACAAACAAAAUAAGAAAAUUGUCCAAUAUUUUUUUUUUUUUGUUCAUUCUGCAUAAAAAGUUUUGAGACACAGAUCCCUGAUUCUCUAAUUGCAAUGUUAACACUUAGAUUCAGUCUGUAAUUAAUAUUUUUUUUUCAGACAUAAAUCAAUUGGACAAACCUUCAUGCUAUUUGAUAAAACUUUUUGGACAGAAGCUUCUUUUUGGUCAAAAAACACUCAAGACAUGCAUGAAAAUAUUUUUUUUAAUUUUUGGUUUUUUUUUUUAACUUAUAGAUUGACUUAGAUUUAGGCUUUACACGCUUUCAUUGAUAGCAGCAAUAGCAAAUGAGACACAAAAUUCUGAGGAACAACUCUUUACAAAUGUUUAAAAAUAAGAUAUGAACAGUGUCCUUCCUGGUCAAAUACUAUAUCCUUUAACAAAUAAAUUUAUUUAAUAAAAGAUGCUAUAAAGUACAAAAUUGCUCCAUUUUUUUCUUUUAGGUUUUAAAGAGUAACAAUAACCUGAGAAAUUCCGAGGUGGAGUUACAACAGAGAAGUGUAGAAUAUUUACAACUAAGCACAGUGGCAUCACUUGAUGUUUUGGUAAGUGUAGAAUAUUUACAACUAAGCACAGUGGCAUCACUUGAUGUUUUGGUAAGUGUAGAAUAUUUACAACUAAGCACAGUGUCAUCACUUGAUGUUUUGGUAAGUGUAGAAUAUUUACAACUAAGCACAGUGUCAUCACUUGAUGUUUUGGUAAGUGUAGACUAUUUACAACUAAGCACGGUGGCAUCACUUGAUGAUUUGGUAAGUGUAGAAUAUUUACAACUAAGCACAGUGGCAUCACUUGAUAUUUUGGUAAGUGUAGAAUAUUUACAACUAAGCACAGUGGCAUCACUUGAUAUUUUGGUAAGUGUAGAAUAUUUACAACUAAGCACAGUGGCAUCACUGAAUGUUUUGGUAAGUGUCGAAUAUUUACAACUAAGCACAGUGGCAUCACUUGAUGUUUUGGUAAGUUGAUAAAGAAAGUUGUAAUUUAAAGACAAAGUAUUGUUGUUGUUGUUUUGGGGUUUUUUUUUUGUCUCUAUCUUCUAUAGUUUGUUUAAAACUUGAAAAUGAGUAAAAGUGUGUAAAACAAGGGGAAAAACUUCUUGGAAGAUUUUGUGUUUAUGUUUUGAUAAUUUAAUUUUGAAUGGAAUUUAGAAUUGAAUUAUUAGAAAUAAUUAAUAUUUUAUCUUUCUAUUCGAAAUAACUUUAAAAAUGUGGUGCACACUUUAAAAAAAAUCCACUAUGCGGGUUAUUCACUAGACUUAGGUUUGUCACAAACAAAAUUUUACUCGAUCAAUUCACUCUCUUAAUGAUAAGGCUUAAAUUAAAAUAUUGUUUGUUUGCCCUUUACCGACCGACCCUAUAAAUUCGUUCCGCCUGAAAAUCUUUUAUUUGUAUUUACCAGCAAGAUUUUAUUUUAUUUUAUUUUUUCGUUCCGACCAAAAAUCUUACAUUUGUAUUUCCCGCUCAAAACUUUUUUUUACCAGAGUCCUCGGGUUUUACCUUUAUCGUAUAACGUCUAGUCCGUUUGGUAUCACGUGAGCGUUUGACAUGAACACUUGCAUUUAGAGUUUCAAAGCAUUUGUUUGAAAUCGAUGUUGAACUCUUUGAAAUCGUGAUAUGAUGUACGUUACUCUGUAUCUUUAAUUUAAACUUGAAGAGCAGGGUUCAUUUUCAAAACUAUCAACGUGUGUACAAACUAUUUUGUAAACGGACGUUGUAUUCUAUGUAGGGAUGGCCUUUUGCAAGGACGUAUAACUAACAUACGUCCCAGUGGCCUUUUUGUGAUCCGUAGAUCAGGAUGAUUAUGUUAACGAUGCCUUCGACCAGUAUUGCUAUAUUCAUUAUAUCUGACAUGAACCAAAGGUGACAAACGCCUUUAAAGUGGAGAAUAUUUGGCAGUAAAAUCGCCCAAGUUUUCCAUACAUAUCAUUUAUAAAUGCGAUGUAAAAUACGUGACAAUUGAGUUUCAAUUCUUGUUGCAUUUUUAUUGGCAACAUAGGCACAAACGAAAAUUUAAACACUCAAGGGACUUUUUCUACUAGUAAUGUAUGUCUGCCUGGGCAUAUUUUACCAGGACAAUAUUAACUCUUACAGAAAACCAUUAGGUAGAGGUCAGCGAACAAGGUACGUAGUACAGAAUAUUAGUGCAAGUUAAAACUCUUCAAACUUCCAGGCAUAUAAACGUUGAAAAUAUAUUUUGAUAUUUGAAAACAAAAUAGUAGUGCAUAUGAAUUAACUUCACAUUCUACAUGAUAUAUUUUUUUCAAAACUUCCUGGGACUAUUAUACAAAUAGUCUCAGAAACUUUUUAGCAAAAGCAAAACAGACAAAAAUGACAUUAUGAAGAUUUUGUAUCUAUAAAAUAAAAUAUUAUACCUACCUGCCUACCAAUGACAAAAAAUAUACCGACCCAAGUUAUUUUUUUGGGGAAAAAAAUAAAAUAUUUUACCUACCUACCUACCCUGUUUCAAAACAUAGGGUCGGAAAAGGGCAAACAAACAAUAUUUUAAUUUAGGCCUAACAUCUUGUGGGCAACUACAGAAGAAUUGCCACCCUCCUAUUUUGUGGGUCACAGUAUUUAAUACAAAAAAGUUCUGCCUUUCUGUUUUUAGGCAACAGUAUUAGAAGAAAUGCCACCAUUCCCAGAACGAGAAUCUUCAAUCCUCGCCAAACUGAAGAAAAAGAAGCCAUCGUCAGUACCUGAUGGUCCAGAGGAGAAAAAGGAACACAAACUACCACAGGCUCAGAUGAGUAACAAUAUAGAAGUUCACGCUCUUCCUGCAAUCAGUGCCGCUGUAAGUUGUCUAUUUUAUAAAAAAUGACCAAUUAUGAGAAUUACUUUUUUUUGCCAGUUUGUCAAUGAAAAAUAGAUGUGUACAUAAUAAUUUGCCUUUCCUUGUUGAUUGUAGAUGUCAAAAAUAUUUUACCAAAUAGAGGCCCCAAUACAUGAAUUGUGUGUUUGCUUAUGUACAAGAGAAUCGAUUAUUUGUUUCUGUGCAUCAAACAAAAAUGAACAAGAGGAAUUUGUUGACAUGCCAAUUUUCUAGUUUUCCAAUUCCAGGGCCUAAGCAAUGGCUCUUGGUAUAUUACUGGCCUGAGUAAUGGAAAUGUAUGACUUUCAAAUUUCCCAAUUUUCAGUUAAGAUAAAAAAAUAAACGUAUUUUUGUAGUCAUUAUCAACACCAAUAGCAAGCAGUACUGGUUCAGCAGAUUUGUUAGGACUUGGAGCACCGACUGUAGCGCCCUCUACUGGUGGAGGAGGGGGUGGUGGUCUGGGUGGUUUAUUGGUGGACGUAUUUGACACACCCACACAGAACGGGGGUGGAAUGGAUGCUAAUGGUCUGUCAGCUGGUUCUGAUGAAAAUUAUAGAAAGUAAGUAAAGGAUCAUCAACUUUUACGGUUUAUUGAUGAAUUAAGAAUGUAAAAUUUAACCAAUUUUGUAAACAGAACAAUUUAGAUAAUUGAGAUAAAAAAAUUGAAUUGAAAUUUCACUUUAUCCUUAACCAUGAUAUCAAAUGAUAAGAGCAGUGACAAUUUUUAUAUGCUUGUCAACAAUAGUUAAACCAUAAAAUACUGUUUUCUCUCUGUUUGUUCCAUGAAAUACUGUUUUCUCUCUGUUCCAUGAAAUACUGUUUUCUCUCUGUCUGUUCCAUGAAAUACUGUUUUCUCUCUGUUCCAUGAAAUACUGUUUUCUCUCUGUUUGUUCCAUGAAAUACUUUUUCUCUCUGUUUGUUCUGAAAUACUGUUUCUUCUCUGUCUGUCAUGAAAUACUGUUUUCUCUCUGUCUGGUUCCAUGAAAUACUGUUUUCUCUCUGUCUGAUCCAUGAAAUACUGUUUUCUCUCUGUUUGUUCCAUGAAAUACUGUUUUCUCUCUGUUCCAUGAAAUACUGUUUUCUCUCUGUCUGAUCCAUGAAAUACUGUUUUCUCUCUGUUGUUCCAUGAAAUACUGUUUUCUCUCUGUUCCAUGAAAUACUGUUUUCUCUCUGUCUGAUCCAUGAAAUACUGUUCCAUGAAAUACUGUUUUCUCUCUGUCUGUUUCAUGAAAUACUGUUUUCUCUCUGUCUGUUCCAUGAAAUACUGGUUUCUCUCUGUCUGAUCCAUGAAAUACUGUUCCAUGAAACACUGUUUUCUCUCUGUCUGUUCCAUGAAAUACUGUUUUCUCUCUGUUUGUUCCAUGAAAUACUGUUUUCUCUCUGUCUGAUCCAUGAAAUACUGUUCCAUGAAAUACUGUUUUCUCUCUGUCUGUUCCAUGAAAUACUGUUUUCUCUCUGUCUGUUCCAUGAAAUACUGUUUUUUCUCUGUCUGAUCCAUGAAAUACUGUUCAUGAAAUACUGUUUUCUCUCUGUGUUUUCCUGAAAUACUGCUCUGUCUGUUCCAUGAAAUACUGUUUUCUCUCUGUCUGUUCCAUGAAAUACUGUUUUCUCUCUGUCUGUUCCAUGAAAUACUGUUUUCUCUCUGUCUGUUCCAUGAAAUACUGUUUUCUCUCUGUCUGAUCAUCUUUAACAUUAAAAUCACGGAUUUAAGUAAAAAGGUAGUUACGGUGAGGGAGGUCACGUUAAUAAGUGGUUAUUCCCAACUUUUAAAAGUAAAAAGUUUAUGACAAAACUGUUUGCCCCUCCUGUUUUUGUCCCUCACACUAACUACUAUCCAAUUUUUAAUAUACCAUGCAUGUAUUAAUGGAACACCCCUAAUUUAAAAAUGGCUGAAACUCACAUUUAAUGUAUAGAUCUUGAAAAAAAAAAUGAAUAUGGAGCAUGCAUGACCUGAUAAAUAAUUCUUUAAGUUAAAUAAUCAUCUGUUGAAUAACAUGUCUGUAUGUAAAUGCCUGUCAAUCCAUGAUAAAGAACAAACAUAGAUUAUAAAAAAAGAAAAACUAUCUUAGAAGUCCAUUAAAAAUGUGUACAAUUGCUAUUUUUCAGAUUUAUUUGUAAGAACAAUGGUGUAUUAUUUGAAAAUGAUUCAUUACAAAUUGGUGUAAAAUCUGAAUAUAGACAGAAUCUAGGACGACUUGGGAUAUUCUUUGGGAACAAGACAUCAUUCCAGUUUACAGGAUUUACUGCUGAUUUAGUGUGUCCAGGAAACCUGGGGGAUCAUAUCCUUUAUAUUAAAUCAGACGUGUAGAGAGAGUGUGCUGUGCUCUCUGUGUAGUAAAAAACACUUGCAACAACUAUUUGAUGGGUUUGUAGAUGACCGGUUGCAAGGCAAAAUUUUAGUCUCUAUCAAGCAUAUUAUAUCCUCAUACUGCUAAUUCAUUUAUUUGUCAUGGAUAACAACAUUCGUGGAUAAUUGAUUUCAUGUUUUAGCCUUUACAAUACUUGUAGUUUGUUGAACAUUUAAGUUUGUGGUUAGCUGGUCCCUACAAAACACAUGAUUGCUAUUCAACAAAUAAUAAUGCAUCCACAGUAUUCCAUUGGCAGUCAAAAUUUCUCUUACCUUCAUGCCAAUUGAGGCCUAACUUGUAGGACCUAAUUAUUGUUGGUUUGUCCUUUGCAAAAGAUACCAUAGGGACAAUCAAACUCAUAGAUGGACAUAAAACUGACAAUGCCAUGGUUAAAAAAGAAAAAGACAAACAGACAAAUAAUAGACAACAUACACAACAUAGAAAACUAAAGACUAAGCAACACAAAAUGAUAUAAAUGAAUAAUUUUUUUCUUGAUAGGAAUGCAAUGCAUGGAAGACCUAUUGGUGACCUUCUGCUGUUGUCUGUUCUAUGGUCGGGUUGUUGUCUCUUUGACACAUUCCCCAUUUCCAUUCUCAAUUUUAAUUGCUCUCUUUGACACAUUUACCAUUUCCAUUCUCAAUUUUAAUUGCUAUACAGAAUAUAUAUUUUUUCCCUUAACUUUUAUGUACAAUUAAGUUGUCAACCAAAGCCAGCUGGUGAAGUGAUAGAGUGUGGUGCACAGAACCAGCAGGUCAUUCAAGCUGAAUGUGUCACAGAAUUCUCAGACGCUCCAGUUUUAAAUAUUUCUUACACGUAAGGAUUUAUUAAUAGUUGCUUUUCACAACUUUUUUGAUUAUUUUGAAUUUGAUGCGACUGUCAUACAAGUGAGAGGUUUAGCGCUAAAAAAAACAGGUUCAAUCCAUCCUUUUCUACAUUUGAAUAUGCCUAUACCAGGAAUAUGACAGUUGUUGUACAUUCAUUUGAUUAGGGACUUUCCCUUUUGAAUUAUCACUUGAGUUCAGUAUUUUUUGUGAUUUUACUUUUCACAAAGGAGAGGUAUUUAAAUCAAAUUGUUUAUGGUGUACUAAAAAAUAUUAUACAACUACCAAAACUGGAAUGUAAAUUGAAAAGUCCAUGAAAACUGAAACAAUCAAACUUUAUUAACAUGAACGAGUGGAAAACAACUGUCAUAUUUCUGAUAUUUCUGACUUGGUACAGGCAUUUUCAGAAGAAAUUGAUGGGUUAAACCUGGUUUUAUAGCCUACUAAACCAGCCACUCAAUCAAGAGGUCAUCCAUAUUAAAUGGGUAUAGGAAAUCUCAAAACUUCCAAUAUUUGAAUAUUUUUGUUUUUAAGUAAUCAUGAAAAUCUUAAUUCCUUUCUAAAGUAGAAGGUUAAUUGUUUUACCCCUUGAAUUUAUAAAUAUUUUUGAUCACCUAUUGGUGUCCUUGUAUGCUCCUAAAUCAUGUCAAUUGGGUAGUUGACACCUUGACACAUUCUCCAUUUCCAUUCUCAAUUUUAUAAUCAUGAAAAAAAUAGUCAUUAAGCAAAUUGAAUCUUUCAUAAAAUAUCACAAUAUAUACAGAAAAUAUUUCUAGCAUAUUGUUUCACCUCUAAAAACAUUCUACAUUUUUGUUUCAGAAUGAGUGGAUCUAUACAAAGAAUCAACCUGAAGCUCCCAAUUAUGCUUAACAAAUUUAUAGAACCAGCUGAAAUGGACUCGGCCACUUUCUUUACACGGUGGAAGGCUUUAAGUCUGUAAGUAUAGAGUUGCUAAUUAUACCCCCACUUUAAAAAAAGAGGGGUAUACUGUUUUACCUCUAUCUGUCCAUCAACCCAACCAUCCAUCGGUCCCAUGAAUAUUUUCUUCCCAUUUUUUUCAGGAACUACUUGACAAGGAUUUCUGAAAUUUGGUUUCAGGGUUUAUAUAAGUCAGCUAUACCUUAUGAUGCGUUAUCAGAUUCAUCACUCAACAACUUCCUGUUUACCAAACACUUGUAUUAUUUUAAGCAUAAUAGCCAAGUAACUUCGUCACAUUUUUCUGGGAACUACAUACAAGGAUUUCUGGUUUCAUAUAAGUCUUACUGUUGAGUUCAUUCAAAACUUCUUUUCUUGUAUUAUUUUACAUCAUUUAAAUCACUUUUCUGACAAUACCACUUUUGCCUUUUAAGUCAACAUUGUUUCAGAUCAUCACUCAACAAUUCCUGUUUACCAAACACUGUAUUAUUUUAAUCAUAAUAGCCAAGUUUAAAAUUCCGUCACUUUUUUCUCGAAUACAAUACAAGGAUUUCUAAUUUGGUUUCAGGGUUUAUAUAAGUCAGGUAUACUGUGUGAUGUGUUUUCAAAUUAUCAUCAAAACUUCCUGUUUACCACACUGUUUAUUUUAAGCAUAAUAGCCAAGUUUAAAACUUCCGUCACAUUUUUCUCAGGAACUACAAUACAAGGAUUUCUGAAAUUUGGCUUCAGGGUUUAUAUAAGUCAGGUAUACUGUGUGAUGCGUUUUCAAAUUCAUCACUCAACAACUUCCUGUUUACCGACAGCUGGUUUCUUUCUAUUUCUAUGAAUAUCAGUUCUCUUCGCUAUCACCCCAUAUGGAAUUUACCCACCUCAUAAAUAUUGUAUUAGAUCACUAUAUAGCUAACACACUAUGUAACAGAUAUUGCCAUGCAAUACUCACAGAAUGCUUUUUCUUUAAUGUUUUUUUUGUAUACUAUGGUUUGUUGUUUGAUGAGGGUGGUAAUGGGGGUACCUUCAUGGGGAAUCAUUGUAAAAAUUCUUGCCAAAUGACGUUAACAGUAAUUUUUGAUGCAUGGCGAUAAAAUGUAAACUUUCAUUUAGACGAUAAGAAAAUUGACUGAUUUUGACGAAUUAGGUUAAAUUUUCCCCAAAAAUGACGGUAACAAUAAUUAUUUGAGACCUCUGACGAAUAACAAUAAGGAAAGUUUGACGAAUCAUGAUAAAAAUUUAACCGAUGUUACGCUAACAGUAGCUGAAAAUGACCUUCCUGACGGUAUUAGGCAUUACUACCCUCUUUGAUUGUUUAUUGCCAUGGUUUUGUCAGUUUGUCAUUGAGUUAUGAGUUUGAAUAUUCCUUUGGUAAGUUUGGUUAAUCUUGUAUGGUUGAUUUAUUUGUUUGUUUUGUAGACCUAACCAAGAAUGUCAGAGAAUAUUUAAAGCACAGUUUCCAAUGGACAUUGAACAGGUUAAAACAAAGGUAAAUGUCAGAAAAUAUAGAGAAAUUUUAAGCUGAGUAAUACACAAACUUUUAUGUGUGUUUACAAAACUUUGAAUUUUUCGAAAAACUAAGGAUUUUCUUAUUCUACAUGUUCCAGGCAUAGAUUACCUUAGCCGUAUUUGGCACAACUUUUUGGAAUAUUGGAUCCUCAAUGCUCUUCAACUUUGUACAUGUUUGGCUUUAUCAAUAUUUCGAUUUGAGCGUCACUGAUGAGUCUUAUGUAGACAAAACGCGCGUCUGGCGUACUAAAUUAUAAUCCUGGUACUUUUGAUAACUAUUAAGACUUCUAAAAAUAUGCUGAAGAAAAUACUUUUGUUUAGGACUUGAAACUCUUAUAUUUCAUAGUGAGCAACAUUUGCAUUAUUUUUGAAUUUAGCAUUGUUGUUUAAACCUAUUGAACAUGUGUUUCAGUUACUUGGAAUGGAACUUGUGUUUCAGUUUCUUGCAUUUAGCAUUGAUAUUUAAACUUAUUGAACAUGUGUUUCAGUUACUUGGAAUGGAACUUGUGUUUCAGUUUCUUGCAUUUAGCAUUGCUAUUUAAACUUAUUGAACUUGUGUUUCAGUUACUUGGAAUUGAACUUGUGGUUCAGUUUCUUGCAUUUAGCAUUGAUAUUUAAACUUAUUGAACAUGUGUUUCAGUUACUUGGAAUUGAACAUGUGUUUCAGUUACUUGGAAUUGAACAUGUGUUUCAGUUACUUGGAAUUGAACUUGUGUUUCAGUUUCUUGCAUUUAGCAAUGAUAUUUAAACUUAUUGAACAUGUGUUUCAGUUACUUGGAUUUAGCAUGAGUGUGAUACUAGAUAUUGACCCCAACCCUGAAAACUUUGUAUCUGCUGGUAUCCUGUACACUAGAACUGCACAAAUAGGAAUACUGGCUAGACUAGAACCAAAUAAACAAGCACAGGUAAUUAUAAUGUACACUGAAAACUGACUAGACUAGAACCAAAUAAACAAGCACAGGUAAUUAUAAUAUACACUGAAAACUGACUAGACUAGAACCAAAUAAACAAGCACAUGUAAUUAUAAUAUACACUGAAAACUGACUAGACUAGAACCAAAAAAACAAGCACAGGUAAUUAUAAUAUACAGUGAUAAACUGACUAGACUGGAACCAAAUAAACAAGCACAGGUAAUUAUAAUAUACACUGAAAACGGACUAGACUGCAACCAAAUAAACAAGCACAGGUAAUUAUAUUAUACACUGAAAACUGACUAGACUAGAACCAAAUAAACAAGCACAGGUAAUUAUAUUAUACACUGAAAACUGACUAGACUAGAACCAAAUUAACAAGCACAGGUAAUUAUUAUAUACACUGAAAACUGAGUAGACUAGACCCAAAUAAACAACCACAGGUAAUUAUGAUAUACACUGAAAACUGGCUAGACUAGAACCAAAUAAACAAUCACAGGUAAUUAUUAUAUACACUGAAAACUGACUAGACUAGAACCAAAUAAACAAGCACAGGUAAUUAUUAUAUACACUGAAAACUGACUAGACUAGAACCAAAUAAACAACCACAGGUCAUUAUAAUAUACACUGAAAACUGACAAGACUAGAACCAAAUAAACAAGCACAGGUCAUUAUAAUAUACACUCAGGGGUCAAAAUUGGCGCUGGUCCGGUGGUCCAAGACCAGUAGAAUUUGUGUCAGUCCAGUAGAUUUUGUCAGCUGGUGGUCCGGCGGACCAGUAGAAAUUUUUCGUUAAAAUCAAUGAUUGCAUCUCUAUCUCGGUUUGUUUACAAAAAAAUAAACCUGAGAAAUUAUUUUUAGGGUAUUGGGGUGCUAUUUUUGAAAUAAAGAAGAGGAAAGCAGCUGAGGAAAAUAAAACUAAUCAUCUGUCAUAUCUUUAAGUGGUUAUCAAAUGAAUGUCAUUUUUGCAGAACCAGUAAAUUUUGAGCCAGACCAUUAGAUCUAAAGUCUACUGGUCCGGCUGGCCAGUACAUGAAAAAGCUUAAAUUCAACCCCUGUAUACCCUUAAUACUGGCUAUAAAAAGAAGAUGUUGUAUGAUUGAUGGCCUAUGAGACAACUCUCCACAAGACACUGAAAAUGACACAGGAGUUUACAACUUUAGGUCACCAUGUGGCUAGACUGGAACUAUUUUACCUGUUAAUUACUAAUUACUUUACCUGUUGCCAUACCUGUUAUAUAUUUAGUAUGCCUGUGUUUUCAGAUGUACAGACUAACAAUAAGAUCAAGUAAAGAGUCCUGUCCUUCCGUGCUGUGUGAUUUGUUAGAGAGCCAGCUAUAG